CUGCAGUGGGUACGGGCAGACUAGAGUGCGGUAGGGGAGAAUGGAAUUCCUGGUGUAGCGGUGGAAUGCGCAGAUAUCAGGAGGAACACCGAUGGCGAAGGCAGUUCUCUGGGCCGUAACUGACGCUGAGGAGCGAAAGCGUGGGGAGCGAACAGGAUUAGAUACCCUGGUAGUCCACGCCGUAAACGUUGGGCGCUAGAUGUGGGGACCAUUCCACGGUUUCCGUGUCGCAGCUAACGCAUUAAGCGCCCCGCCUGGGGAGUACGGCCGCAAGGCUAAAACUCAAAGGAAUUGACGGGGGCCCGCACAAGCGGCGGAGCAUGCGGAUUAAUUCGAUGCAACGCGAAGAACCUUACCAAGGCUUGACAUACACGAGAACGGGCCAGAAAUGGUCAACUCUUUGGACACUCGUGAACAGGUGGUGCAUGGUUGUCGUCAGCUCGUGUCGUGAGAUGUUGGGUUAAGUCCCGCAACGAGCGCAACCCUCGUUCUAUGUUGCCAGCGCGUAAUGGCGGGAACUCAUAGGAGACUGCCGGGGUCAACUCGGAGGAAGGUGGGGAUGACGUCAAAUCAUCAUGCCCCUUAUGUCUUGGGCUUCACGCAUGCUACAAUGGCCGGUACAAAGGGCUGCAAUACCGUAAGGUGGAGCGAAUCCCAAAAAGCCGGUCUCAGUUCGGAUUGAGGUCUGCAACUCGACCUCAUGAAGUCGGAGUCGCUAGUAAUCGCAGAUCAGCAACGCUGCGGUGAAUACGUUCCCGGGCCUUGUACACACCGCCCGUCAAGUCAUGAAAGUCGGUAACACCCGAAGCCGGUGGCCCAACCCUGGGAGGGAGCCUCGAGGGAUCGUGCUUU
rnacentral:rRNA from 1 species